rnacentral:rRNA from 1 species
UACGGAGGGGGCUAGCGUUGUUCGGAAUUACUGGGCGUAAAGCGCACGUAGGCGGCUUUGUAAGUUAGAGGUGAAAGCCUGGGGCUCAACUCCAGAAUUGCCUUUAAGACUGCAUCGCUUGAACGUCGGAGAGGUGAGUGGAAUUCCGAGUGUAGAGGUGAAAUUCGUAGAUAUUCGGAAGAACACCAGUGGCGAAGGCGACAUACUGGUCCGUUACUGACGCCUGAGGCUCGAAAGCGUGGGGAGCAAACAGG